CAAAAUGAAGCUUUAAGCCAUUUAUUUACAUUAAAUAGUCCCUAGGAACAUCCAGGCAUUUUGA
rnacentral:tRNA from 1 species